CCUACGGGUGGCAGCAGUGAGGAAUAUUGGUCAAUGGGCGCGAGCCUGAACCAGCCAAGUCGCGUGAAGGAUGACUGCCCUACGGAUUGUAAACUUCUUUUAUCAAGGAAUAAAGUGAGGAACGUGUGCCUUUCUGUAUGUCCUUUAUGACUAAGGAUCGGCUAACUCCGUGCCAGCAGCCGCGGUAAUACGGAGGAUCCGAGCGUUAUCCGGAUUUAUUGGGUUUAAGGGGAGCGUAGAUGGGUUGUUAAGUCAGGUGUGAAAGUGUGCGGCACAACCGUAGAAUUGCCAUUGAUACUGGCAGCCUGGAGUGCGGAUGAGGUAGGCGGAAUGCGUGGUGUAGCGGUGAAAUGCAUAGAUAUCACGAAGAACUCCGAUUGCGAAGGCAGCCUACGAAACUGCCACUGACGUUGAUGCUCGAAAGCGUGGGUAUCAAACAGGAUUAGAUACCCUAGUAGUC
rnacentral:rRNA from 1 species